UUUCCGUAGGUGAACCUGCGGAAGGAUCACUAUCGAGUUCCUGCCCCCCGGGGUAGAUCUCCCACCCUAGCUUAUCCAACUUUGUUGCUUUGGCGGGCCGUCCGUUCGGCCACCGGCCCCCCGGCUGGUGCGUGCCCGUCAGAGACCCACACACGCGCUUGAUUGUGUUGUCUGAGUCCUUAUAUAAUCGUUAAAACUUUCAACAACGGAUCUCUUGGUUCUG
rnacentral:misc_RNA from 1 species